rnacentral:lncRNA from 1 species
CAGGAAACGAGCACCCUCCCUGGCUGUCUUGACUGGGCACAGUGCCCUCUCCAGAUGGGACUGGAAGUUCCCUCCCCAGCCUGGCCCUCUCCUCCAGCUGCCCCCAUCUCACCCCAGUGCGCCCUGCAGUCCCCCCGGAUGCUGGACAGAGAGGCUGCAAAUGAUGCUCAGGUGCCUGGGAGCCGGGAGGAGGGUGACAGGGAGAAGGGAGAAGGUGGUGGUACAGGUCAUGUGCAAAGCCCAGCCACGACCCCUGUCACUUCGCCUUUUUUCUUUUUUUGUAAGAAGGGAUGUUUGUUCCUGAGCCGGGCCGGGGGAGGGGGCGCCCGCCUCCUCCUCGCCAGCUGUAAGCACAUCAGCUGCCGCGGGCACAAUAGAAGCUGCUCCCCCGCGUGCCCCCCUCCCCCAGAGCCCGGCCCCAGGCCGCCAGCCGGCCUCGCAAGCCAACGGGGCUCAGCCUGCCACCCCGCUUUGCAGCAGAGCCGCGCUCCAGCGUGCCAGCGCGCAGACCAGCAGCUGCAAAUGGAUCAUUAGCCUCAAAUGGAGCCUGCAGAGAAGGGGGCAGCGGGCGGGCAGCCUUGGCAGCUGCGGGCGCUCUUCCCCGCCUGCACCCCGGAGGGUCACGGGGGGGUACGUUUCCCCCCUCACCGCCCCUGCCCGGCCUGGCUGAUCACACCCCGCGACGGUGCUAGUUCAGCCAGACCAAAUCACAGAUGGCCUGAAAACCAAUCUCGCCUAUUUUCUUUUUACCAUUAAAAUAUGCCUACUCGGAGCUGCUGUUGUGGCUCAGCGGUUAACAAACCCGACUAGCAUCCAUGAGGAUGCAGGUUUGAUCCCUGGCCUCGCUCGGUGGGUUAAGGAUCUGGCAUGGCCAUGAGCUGCAGUGUAGGUCGCAGACGCAGCUCGGAUCCCGUGUGGCUGUGGCUCUGGUGUAGGCCGGCGGCUACAGCUCCCAUCGGACCCCUAGCCUGGGAACCUCCAUAUGCCGCGGGGGCGGCCCUAAAAGACAAGAGGACAAAAAAAAAAAAAAAAAAGUGGCUAUUUGACAACGGAACAUGACACGCGUGGCUGGCCUUCGAUUCCUCUGGGCAGGGGAUAGAGCGUCUUGGAUCAGCAUCCUCUGCUUCGAAACGCAGAUUCCCAGGCCCCACCCAGGCUUGCAGAACCAGAGCCUCAUUCCCAGGCCAGCUGUGGCGCCCCGCAACCGCUCUGUGCUUGUGACAGGCCCCACAGUGACUCCGGCCUCCCGCCCGGGUACCUGCUCUUCUGGGCUCCUGCAAACCCCGAUCAGCAGGCCCCAGCUGGGGGUACCCCCCAUGGGUCACGGAAGCAGAAAAGAGAAUCUUGGAGGCAGAACGUCCUUGGUCCCCCAAAGGGGCUUCUGGCCAAAACCUCUCUCGUUUAGACCUAAUGGAGGGAGACGGUCCGGCUUGCAGAGUUGAAGAACGGUUGACCAAGCGCCUUGCACAGGCAGAGCAUGUAAAGUAGCUCUAGUCCAUUCUCUCUGGACAGACGUGGCAACACAGAGUGAGCGUGCCUCUUGAGGUUUUUGUGGGGCUACUUUUACCAGAUAGGAACAACUUCCCAGGAAGGACUGGUUACCGUGGGUCAGUGGACAGUCCCUUUCAAAGUCCCUGGGGUAUUUUGCUCUCAAGCCUUUUAAAGUAAGUCCCCGAGUCCCUGUCUGCCAUCAGCAUCAAAGUCCAGGGCUUAAAAUGCCUGCUGAUACACAAGCAGGGCUUUCCAGGCUGGGGAAGCUGAGAGGCUGGGUUUUUUUUUUUUUUUUUUUUUGGUCUUUUUGCCUUUUCCCGUGGCACAUGGAGGCUCCCAGGCUAGGGGUCCAAUCGGAGAUGUAGCCACCGGCCUACUCCAGAGCCACAGCAAGGCGGGAUCUGAACCGCAUGUGCAACCUACACCACCAGCUCACGGCAAUGCUGGAUCCUUAACCCACCGAGCGAGGCCAGGGAUCGAACCUGCAACCUCAUGGUUCCCAGUCAGAUUCGUCAACCACUGCGCCAUGACGGGAACUCCCUGAGAGGCUGUCUUGACACCCUGCCUAGUGUCUAAAGAAGCAAAAGAUGCCCUCAGUCACGGCUGCCCCCGAAGGUUCUGGAGGCUGGAGACGGGGUUCAGGGGUGGUGGGAUCAGUCCCCCCCUCCCCCCGCCCCCGGCACUCGCAUCACCAGUGAGAUGUCAGGUGUUCACAGGGAGGCCUUCGGAGCAGAAGGCUGCUUCGGACAUGCCCUUUGAAUGAAGAGAAGAAGGGGCCCUUGACUCCAGUUCAAAUGUGAAGAAACCAAAACUCAAGGCACUGACUUGAAGCCUCCCCGAGGUUUGGGUCUAAAUCUCUCCUGCACACCUGCUCCUGCCCCAGAGGGACCUGUCGGUGUUGGUAGAGGAAGUGGCACCAAGAACCCCGCCAGACACUUCGACGCAGCCGCACCCCAAUUUCCCAAACUCCCAGGAAGCGCUGAGCAGUGAAGGGGGGACCCCACCUACAG